AGGAUAAAUUCCCAGAAGAGGGAGUUCUGGAAGAAGAGCAGAUGGUCAGCAGUGUGGACCCUGAACCAUACAGUCUGGGUUUGGAUCCAGGCUUUAGCAAUUAUUGCCAGAAGAAAAGGACUAACCUUAAUGGACCGGUUUACUUCCCAACUCUACUGAGAGCCCGAACUUUAGCGACGCGUUAUGUCAAUUAAAAGGACAAGAAAGGAGCUGAAUUUCCACGAAAUGCUCUGCAGCUGUUGGCAUCCACGUGACUGAACCAGUCAGAAGCCAGAGGGUACAGGAGCCCUUCAGUGGAAGCACAAACUGAAGAUAUCUGGCAUAGUAACUGCAAAAUGAAGGGAAAAAGAAAAUCUUGUUUCACUUUCACCUGGAUGCCAGUGGAGCCAGACAUCCAGUAUCUGUGACCAGUGAAUUUAAACUUGAUUGGGAGAAACCCCUUAAGAACAGAAUAAUUUUGACAACAUGGAUUUACUAUAUCUGGAGAAAAAAAAAAAACCUAUGCAUACUUUCUCACCUUCAGAAAGUGGCUGUAGAGACUUUGUUUUCUUGCUCAUUUUAAAAAUUGCAGUGCUGGCAGCCCUGACCACCAAGUCUCGCCUGAGAUAGUUUUCCCCCCAACUCAUCAAAACCCCAUAAUGUACUGUCAGAACCUCUGAAAUUCCAUGUCCCCUUUGAGCUCCAUGUUCUGACAUCUUCUGUAGGCUCUGUUGAAUGACAGAGCUUCCAUGGUGCCUAAAGGAGGCAUUUUCAGUUUGGUGCCAGUCUUGUGUUUAGGGCUGUGAAAUCUGACUGUUAGGGGUGGUCUGCUGGUCAGGUUCAUGUUGGUGUUGGUUACAUACCUAGUUUAGAUAUUUGCUUUUAUAGUAACAGCUAGACCUUCACUAGUGGUCUAUAAUAGAACUCUUGUGGUUAAAAGCAGCAUAUACUGUUUCAUAUCCUAAUUUUUCAGUUUU